GAUGAACGCUGGCGGCGUGCCUAAUACAUGCAAGUCGAGCGAACUUUUCACUUCGGUGAAAAGUCAGCGGCGGACGGGUGAGUAACACGUAGGUAACCUGCCUGAUAGAUUGGGAUAACAUCGAGAAAUCGGUGCUAAUACCGAAUAUUUCAUUUUUACCGCAUGGUAGAAAUGAGAAAGGGGGCUUUUAGCUCUCACUAUCAGAUGGACCUGCGUCGCAUUAGCUAGUUGGUGAGGUAACGGCUCACCAAGGCGACGAUGCGUAGCCGACCUGAGAGGGUGAUCGGCCACACUGGGACUGAGACACGGCCCAGACUCCUACGGGAGGCAGCAGUAGGGAAUCUUCCGCAAUGGACGAAAGUCUGACGGAGCAACGCCGCGUGAGCGAUGAAGGCCUUCGGGUCGUAAAGCUCUGUUGUUAGGGAAGAACAAGUAGUAUUCGAAUAGGAUGCUACCAUGACGGUACCUAACUAGAAAGCCACGGCUAACUACGUGCCAGCAGCCGCAGUAAAAC
rnacentral:rRNA from 1 species